GGGGGUAUAGCUCAGUGGUAGAGUGCAUGCCUAUCAUGUACAAGGUCCUAGGUUCAAUCCCCCCAUACCUCCA
rnacentral:tRNA from 1 species